rnacentral:rRNA from 1 species
UACAGAGGUCCCGAGCGUUGUUCGGAUUCACUGGGCGUAAAGGGUGCGUAGGUGGUGAGGCAAGUCGGAUGUGAAAUCUCCGGGCUUAACCCGGAAACUGCAUUGGAAACUGCCUUGCUAGAGGUUUUGAGGGGGGACUGGAAUUCUCGGUGUAGCAGUGAAAUGCGUAGAUAUCGAGAGGAACACCAGUGGCGAAGGCGAGUCCCUGGAAAACACCUGACACUGAGGCACGAAAGCUAGGGGAGCAAACAGG